UGGGGAAUAUUGCACAAUGGGCGCAAGCCUGAUGCAGCAACGCCGCGUGAACGAUGAAGGUCUUCGGAUCGUAAAGUUCUGUUGCAGGGGAAGAUAAUGACGGUACCCUGUGAGGAAGCCCCGGCUAACUACGUGCCAGCAGCCGCGGUAAUACGUAGGGGGCUAGCGUUAUCCGGAUUUACUGGGCGGAAAGGGUGCGUAGGUGGUCUUUCAAGUCGGUGGUUAAAGGCUACGGCUCAACCGUAGUUAGCCUCCGAAACUGGAAGACUUGAGUGCAGGAGAGGAAAGUGGAAUUCCCAGUGUAGCGGUGAAAUGCGUAGAUAUUGGGAGGAACACCAGUAGCGAAGGCGGCUUUCUGGACUGCAACUGACACUGAGGCACGAAAGCGUGGGUAGCAAACAGG
rnacentral:rRNA from 1 species